ACUUGCAAAGAAGACGAAUUCAUCUCCUAUAUUCUAGCAGGGCUCGACGAGAACUACAAUCCUCUUGUGUCGGCCCUGGAUGUAUGCACGGAGGAGGUCACUCUCGUUGAGUUGUUCGUGCAAAUGUCGAACGUUGACC